rnacentral:pre_miRNA from 1 species
AGGAGGAACAACCCCAGUGGCGGGGCCAGCUCUGGAGCCCUGGAGUCAGUCCCCACAGUAGCUCCAGAGCUCUCCGUCUGCAGGGCCUGGAGGCUCCGGGGUAGG